AGCAGCCGCGGUAAUUCCAGCUCCAAUAGCGUAUAUUAAAGUUGUUGCAGUUAAAAAGCUCGUAGUUGAAUUUCGAGAUCAAUUUGUUGGUCGUGCCUCGGUACGUACUGGCAAUUUUGAUUUCUCCCUUCUGAAGAACCAUGAUGUCAUUAAUUUGGUGUCAUGGGGAAUCAGGACCGUUACUUUGAAAAAUUAGAGUGUUUAAAGCAGGCUCGCGCUUGAAUACAUUAGCAUGGAAUAAUGAAAUAGGACGUUUGAUUCUAUUUUGUUGGUUUCUAGGAUCGACGUAAUGAUUAAUAGGGAUAGUUGGGGGCAUUAGUAUUCAAUUGUCAGAGGUGAAAUUCUUGGAUUUAUUGAAGACUAACUACUGCGAAAGCAUUUGCCAAGGAUGUUUUCAUUAAUCAAGAACGAAAGUUAGGGGAAUCGAAGACGAUCAGAUACCGUCGUAGU
rnacentral:rRNA from 1 species